rnacentral:lncRNA from 1 species
CCUUAUACAGACACAUCACCUUCACUUUGGGAUGUGGAAUUUGCUAAGUAAGCCACAGAAAAUGAACAUCCCUUCAGAAUGGGUUUGAAGAGCUGAUCCAGUGGAUUAAAGAGGGGAAACUGGGAGUUCCCAAUUAACAAUGAAGCAGGAGCUGACUAAGGCUUUGAAACAGAAACCAGAUGAUGCACAAUAUUAUUGUCAAAGAGCUUAUUGUCACAUUCUUCUUGGGAAUUACUGUGUUGCUGUUGCCAACACAAAGAAGUCUUGUGAACUCAAUCCAAAUAAUUCCACUGCUAUGCUGAGAAAAGGGGGCUGGCGGCAUGGAGUCUUGCUCUGUCACCCAUCCUUGAGUGCAAUGGCACCAUCUUAGUUCACUGCAGCCUUGAAUUCCAGGGCUCGAGCCAUCCUUCUGCCUCUGCCUCCUGAGUAGGUGGGACUACAGGCAUGUGCCACCAUACUGAGCUAAUUUGUUAAACACUUUUUUUGUAGAGACGAGGUCUUGCUACGUUUCCCAGACUGGUCUCUGAACUCCCGGCCUCAAGUGAUCCUACUGCCUUGGCCUCCCAAA